rnacentral:tRNA from 1 species
UGGGGUGUAGCUCAGAGGUAAAGUGCAUGCUUAGCAUGUAUGAGGCCCUAGGUUCAAACCCCAGCCCAG